rnacentral:rRNA from 1 species
AUGUAAAGUCCACUGGAAUGUGGCAGCGCCCCUUGCGUUCUUUGGGUCAGAGAGGGUGA